GCCAGUGUUCCACAGGAAACCCUUUCAUGUGACUCAACAACCUCAGGUGCUGGAAGCAGAGGAAAUGUGUCAGAUAAUGCAGACAUACCUGCUAAAGUCACUGCUCUUAUCAAGGCUGCAUCAGAUAAACAAUAGAACAACAGAGCAACAGAACAACAGAGAAGGGAAGCAGGGUUGAGGAUAGACACCAGUGCUGUGCUGCUUUGCCUCUCUAAUAGUUUGCUUUGUCCCUCAGGAAAGUCACUUGCAGAACUGUGUGCAUAAAUGUGACAGCUAAUGCACGAUAUUCUACUAUAGUUCUUACAUGAUGCUUCAGAGAAAAGGAUGCCUCUUCAUGAAGAGGAAUCAUGACCACAUCGUGCACUUAUGCAAGGUUGGGUAGAUUUUGGGGUGGAACGAGCAUCGGCUUUGGAAACGCAGCUGCUGCUUCCCCGCACUGGCACUGAAGUCCAAUGCUUCCCUCCAGUGGUGAAACGUCUUCUUACAUGACUCACAAUUUUCAUCAACUAUGGAAAAAUAGCCAUUUUGCAGCAUCUGCUAACGUUCAGGGGCAUCACCUUGCCUGUCUAUUUAGAAGCUCACAUUGUGGUGGUGCCUUGCUCUUUGCACUGACUGUGGAGGAGAUCUGGAUGGGAAGAAAUCUACUUCUUGGAUAGCUAA